rnacentral:rRNA from 1 species
GAUGCGCGCAGCCUGAUGCAGCACGCCGCGUGAGGGAUGACGGCCUUCGGGUUGUAAACCUCUUUUAGCAGGGAAGAAGCGAAAGUGACGGUACCUGCAGAAAAAGCGCCGGCUAACUACGUGCCAGCAGCCGCGGUAAUAGG